UCUCUCCCUCUAGGCACCCCCAGACCCAGAGCACCAACCAGGACCCCCAACAGGACCAAGGAUCUACCCAGGGUCAGGCUCCUGAUGCUGGGUAUACAUGUCUGCAGCAUGGUGGUGUUCACGUCUACGAUACGAUCAAUCCCUCAGACAACUAUAAUAAUGAUGCUGCUGUUGGACCAAGUCAUUUGACAUACGCCCAGAUUCAACUCACAAAGUUGGACAAGAAAAAGAAGAAAAGCCAGCUGAUCCAAAAGAAAGUCCAGUCUACUCUGAGGUGAAGACAGGGAAAGCCACAACUGGACCUGUUGAUGUGACCUAUGCUGAGGUUGUCCUCCAAAAGAAGACCAAAGCCAAGAAGAAGAGAAACAACCCCACCUGAGACAGAUUCAGUCUAUUCUCAACUGAAGCCAGGUCCUUGAGGGAGAUGGAGG